rnacentral:rRNA from 1 species
CCUACGGGGGGCAGCAGUGGGGAUUAUUGGACAAUGGGGGCAACCCUGAUCCAGCCAUGCCGCGUGUGUGAAGAAGGCCCUCGGGUUGUAAAGCACUUUCAGUGAGGAAGAACGCCUGGUGGUUAAUACCCAUCAGGAAAGACAUCACUCACAGAAGAAGCACCGGCUAACUCCGUGCCAGCAGCCGCGGUAAUACGGAGGGUGCGAGCGUUAAUCGGAAUUACUGGGCGUAAAGCGCGCGUAGGUGGCUUGAUAAGCCGGUUGUGAAAGCCCCGGGCUCAACCUGGGAACGGCAUCCGGAACUGUCAAGCUAGAGUGCAGGAGAGGAAGGUAGAAUUCCCGGUGUAGCGGUGAAAUGCGUAGAGAUCGGGAGGAAUACCAGUGGCGAAGGCGGCCUUCUGGACUGACACUGACACUGAGGUGCGAAAGCGUGGGUAGCAAACAGGAUUAGAUACCCUGGUAGUC